rnacentral:rRNA from 1 species
UUGGAGGGCAAGUCUGGUGCCAGCAGCCGCGGUAAUUCCAGCUCCAAUAGCGUAUAUUAAAGUUGUUGCAGUUAAAAAGCUCGUAGUUGAAUUUCGGGAUCAAUUUAUUGGUCGUGCCAACGGUACGCACUGGUACAAUUGGUUUCUCCCUUCUGACGAAGCAUGAUGUCAUUAAUUUGAUGUCGUGGGGAAUCAGGACUGUUACUUUGAAAAAAUUAGAGUGUUUAAAGCAGGCUUUGGCUUGAAUACAUUAGCAUGGAAUAAUGAAAUAGGACGUUUGAUCUUAUUUCGUUGGUUUCUAAGAUCGACGUAAUGAUUAAUAGGGAUAGUUGGGGGCAUCAGUAUUCAAUUGUCAGAGGUGAAAUUCUUGGAUUUAUUGAAGACUAACUACUGCGAAAGCAUUUGCCAAGGAUGUUUUCAUUAAUCAAGAACGAAAGUUAGGGGAUCGAAGACGAUCAGAUACCGUCGUAGUCUUAACCAUAAACUAUGCCGACUAGGGAUCGGAUGAUGUUAAUUUUUCUUGACUCGUUCGGCGCCUUACGGGAAAC